UUGGCCUACGGGGCGCAGCAGUGAGGAAUAUUGGUCAAUGGGAGAGAUCCUGAACCAGCCAAGCCGCGUGAGGGAAGACGGCCCUAUGGGUUGUAAACCUCUUUUGUCGGAGAACAAAACCCGGGACGUGUCCCGGACUGCGUGUAUCCGAAGAAAAAGCAUCGGCUAACUCCGUGCCAGCAGCCGCGGUAAUACGGAGGAUGCGAGCGUUAUCCGGAUUUAUUGGGUGUAAAGGGAGCGUAGAGGGCCGUGCAAGUCUGAUGUGAAAACCCGGGGCUCAACCCCGGGACUGCAU
rnacentral:rRNA from 1 species